AUUCAGUGUAAAAAUAUUCAGAGUCAACAUCCGGGUAACUAAGGAGAAGCAAUCAAUCCCUGUAUCAAAUCAUCCAACAUCCAGCCAAUCAAGUUACGCUCCAUUGGUCAUGUGACGCCGAAACAGGAAGACGGUGAAGUUCAGGUGUGCUCCGGUCAGAGCUCAGCAUGGCUCAGAACACAAAUGAUGGUGCUACGCUACAACAUUGUUGUCUUUGGUGAUAUUGACGUUUUUUCCCGUAAGAUAAUAUAUCUUGGUGCAACCUCCAACAACCUUGCAUCAACCACACCCUGGCUUUCUUCCUACAAUCUGUUGAGAAGUUUGGGUUUCCUCUCAGGUAAAUG